rnacentral:rRNA from 1 species
GACGAACGCUGGCGGCGUGCCUAAUACAUGCAAGUAGAACGCUGAAGAGAGGAGCUUGCUCUUCUUGGAUGAGUUGCGAACGGGUGAGUAACGCGUAGGUAACCUGCCUUGUAGCGGGGGAUAACUAUUGGAAACGAUAGCUAAUACCGCAUAACAAUGGAUGACACAUGUCAUUUAUUUGAAAGGGGCAAUUGCUCCACUACAAGAUGGACCUGCGUUGUAUUAGCUAGUAGGUGAGGUAAUGGCUCACCUAGGCGACGAUACAUAGCCGACCUGAGAGGGUGAUUGGCCACACUGGGAGGGAGACACGGCCCAGACUCCUACGGGAGGCAGCAGUAGGGAAUCGUCGGCAAUGGGGGCAAACCUGACCGAGCAACGCCGCGUGAGUGAAGAAGGUUUUCGGAUCGUAAAGCUCUGUUGUAAGUCAAGAACGGGUGUGAGAGUGGAAAGUUCACACUGUGACGGUAGCUUACCAGAAAGGGACGGCUAACUACGUG